rnacentral:rRNA from 1 species
UACGUAGGUGGCAAGCGUUGUCCGGAAUUAUUGGGCGUAAAGCGCGCGCAGGCGGUCCUUUAAGUCUGAUGUGAAAGCCAACGGCUCAACCGUGGAAGGUCAUUGGAAACUGGAGGACUUGAGUACAGAAGAGGAAAGCGGAAUUCCACGUGUAGCGGUGAAAUGCGUAGAGAUGUGGAGGAACACCAGUGGCGAAGGCGGCUUUCUGGUCUGUAACUGACGCUGAGGCGCGAAAGCGUGGGGAGCAAACAGG